rnacentral:rRNA from 1 species
AUGAGAUGUACAAAACUGAUCCAGAAGAAACCUACACUGAACGCAAAAAUUGAAUCCAAUGGAUUCGAAGAUAUUGGGCAGAAGAGUGGUUCAGAUACCGCUUCAUCACCAAGGAAUAUGCAGAGAAGAAUGCCAUCAAGGCACCCUGGAGUGAUAUUCUGUACAAAAAUCUUCCACCCAGAAAUCAAGCUAAAGCUAUUGAGCAAGGCUUCUAUCCUUGCAUGGUGCGCGGAUCACAGCCUGAGAAUGCUGAUCCGUCCUCACUACUCUGGUGUCGUGAUGACAAUCUGUUCAAGCGCAACUACCAGUUCGCCAAAGACUCAGCCAAAAAGAACAAGAAGGAUCUGGGGCUUGACUUCAACCCUGGUCCCUCCUCUCCUCGGGACAAUGGCACCCGUGAAGCCAAUGAAAACAGGAUUGACCCCUUCUACAACCUUGCUAGCCUCAUCACUCACAUUACUGUUCAAGGUGCCAAAGUGGAUCAUUCUGAUGAUGAUGAUGCUGACACUAACGAAGCUCCAGCUCCUCCUCCAAAGCCCAAGAAGCAACAGAAGACUAAAGCUUCAAAAGCAUCUGCUGCUCCAAAGACUUCAAGAGUGA